CUUUUGAUGUGAUCGCACCUUUUUAGGUGAGGAAAGUCCAUACUCGCACAAGCUGAGAUGCUUGUAGUGUUCAUGCUAAACGAAACAAUAAGUUUAGGUACACCUAUGUUGUAACGGCAGACAAAUAUUCCUAAGUACUCUGUAUAUGGAAUAUUAUAUCUUGAAAGUGCCACAGUGACGGAGUUUUCAUAGAAAUAUGAGAAGUGGAACGCGGUAAACCCCUUGAGCGAGCAAUUCAAAUUUUGGUAGAAGCACUUAUUUCAUAGAAAUGAAUAUAGAAAUAGGAGACAAUAAUAUUGUCUAGACAGAUGAUCACAGCUAUCUUUACGAAAGUUCUAGUUCUUGUUUGAGUAAGGAUAGAGACAGAAUAUGGCUUAUGAUA
rnacentral:RNase_P_RNA from 4 species